rnacentral:rRNA from 1 species
UACGUAGGGGGGCAAGCGUUUGUCCGGAAUCAUUGGGCGUAAAGAGCGUGUAGGCGGCCCGAUAAGUCCGCUGUGAAAAGUCCAGGGCUCAACCCUGGGAUGCCGGUGGAUACUGUCGGGCUCGAGUCCGGAAGAGGAGUGUGGAAUUCCUGGUGUAGCGGUGAAAUGCACAGAUAUCAGGAGGAACACCGGUGGCGAAGGCGGUGAUCGUGGGC